rnacentral:rRNA from 1 species
UACAGAGGGGGCAAGCGUUAUUCGGAAUUAUUGGGCGUAAAGGGCGCGUAGGCGGCUAUUCAAGUGGCGGGUGAAAUCCCUCGGCUUAACCGAGGAACUGCCUGCCAGACUGGAUGGCUUGAGACCGGGAGAGGUGAGUGGAAUUCCCAGUGUAGCGGUGAAAUGCGUAGAUAUUGGGAGGAACCCCUGAGGCGAAGGCGGCGUCCUGGCGCACUUCUGACGUUCAGACACGACAGCAUGGGGAGCGAACGGG